rnacentral:lncRNA from 1 species
GUCGUAAUGAAGAACGGGACAAAAGAGAAGGACGGACACAAGAAAGGAAGUAAGAUGGUUAUGAGCUGAUGGGCAGUUCUCACCCUUUAUUCUUGCCUGUUCCACCUGUUUACCACCUGAUGACUGACUGCACUAAUCAAAUGAGGUCUCAUCUGAUUCAUUUCUGUCUUCCCUCGUUUCUUCCUUCUCUCUUCCAUUCAUUUUUUUUCUUCCCUUCUUUGUUUAUUCACUCCUUAUUUUUAUUUUCUCAACAUCUCCUUCCUUUUUCUCGUUUUCUUCCUUGAUUCCUUCCUUCUCUCAUCACUCCUUAUUUAUCCUUCCCUUCCUUCUUUACACCUUCCUUGAUUCCUUUAUCCUUUCAGGCUUUUUCUUCUCUCCUUUCCUACAUCCUUCCUAGACUGCUUUAUUCCUUUCUUACUUUUUCAUUCCUUUCUUUUUCUCUCUCUCCUGUUUCCUCCUUUCUCUCUCUCUUUCUUGAUUCCUUUAUUCCUUGUCCUUGCCUUGUCGAUCCUGACUUCUGUUUACACUUUUCUAUUUUUACCUCCUACCCUUCUCUCCUUCUUUCUUUUUUCUUCCAUCCUUCCUACCUCCUUUGGCUUUGUUCAUUUCCUCUACUUCUUUUCUAGCUUUGCUUGAUGCCUUUAUCUUUUCCUUUCCUUUCCUUCGUUCUUUUAUUCCUCUCCUUGUUUCCUUCCUUUAAUCUGUUCUUCCUUCCUCUCUUCUCUCCUUCCUUCCUUAUUCCCUGUCUUCCUUUAUUCUGUGGAUUUCAUAUCUUUCUAUUUCAUGCUCUUUCUUUCUUCUCACCUUCUCUCCCUCUUCUCUCUCCUGAGUCACAGAGUGAUGAUGGGAGGAGACCGGAGAGAGCGAGUCGGAGAGAGAGACUGAGUCCGUCCCCCUCCGGUGAAAAACCCUCCGCCUGCGAACGAGGGAUCAUUCACUGGAGAGAGAGAAAGGCAGAGACGGACGGAGAAACUGAGCCGAGACUUUUUCUUCUUUUGUUUUUCUUUCUCGUGACGCCUCCACGUUUUUUUCCUGGCCAUCUGUCCCCAUCUAAGAAACACCAGGAUUACUCAUUUUCUCUCCUCCUCCUCCUUUUUCUUUUCUUUUAUUCCUCUCCCUCGG